GCUGGGCAUGGUGGUGCGUGCCUGUAAUCCCAGCUACUCAGGAGGCUGAGGCAGGAGAACCGCUUGAACCCAGGAGGUGGAGGUUGCAGUGAGCUGAGGUUGUGCCAUUGCCCUCCAACCUGGGUGACAGAGCGAGACUCUGUCUCAA
rnacentral:SRP_RNA from 1 species